rnacentral:misc_RNA from 1 species
CGAGCUGACGUUGGAUGCAAAAUGCGGUUCCUGUGUUGCAUACCUAUUGCGACGGAAAUGUGUGCCUUCGGUAGUCCCUUCCAUCACGGGGUCCUCUCGAUGCUCGGUUGGACCGGAUAGCGGGGCUCGUGUUCCACGAACACCAUCUCAUUCGAUUGUGCUCGGACGGACCACGAGCGCUCGCUCGUUCUCUCGGAUGUGGAACUUUCUUCAUGGGUAUGGGGUCAUCGGCCCUUCUUCCCAAUCGUAAAGCGUUUAUCGCUUCCCCGGAAUGACGCUCUCGCCCCGUCUUUGAUCGAAGCGAAGCUCUC